ensembl:lncRNA
UUUUUCUUUUUUUUUUUUUUCAGGCAAUUAUUAAUUUUCAUGAAGUAAUUGUAUUUUUUUUAAUCUGACUAAAUCAACCUGACAAAUCAGGUUACACCAGUUUAAGUGUAUGUUAAUGAAAAUGUUUCUUUAUAUAAGCUAGAUAUGUGUGUUUUGGUUUUUAUAUUUUAUGAAAAUAUGUUUACGGAACUCCUGGUCCUGUGACACAACAUUUAGUUCCUUUAUAUGUGUCUACACACAGCGACCUGCAUACUUUUUAUUAAUAAAUUAUUAAACUUUUAGGGCCAGCGGUACCAAGGUGAACAAGAAGGUUAGAAGAAUACAGGGUCAUCAUCUGGCUCAGGGAAGGUCAUAGAUUCACCAGAUCAUAGAAUGGAACCAGCUUUUUCACACACAUCUAUCUCCAGAAAUCAAGAUACAGCAAGAUCCCAGACUCUCUGCUCUCAGUGUGUAGGGGAAGAUCAGAGAUGCUUUGUCUUCCGUGGCAGUCUGCCUGCUGGGGAGAGGAUGGAGGCACUCUCUCAGAAAAAAGGUACAAAAGAUAUUACUUGUGCGGUACCCUUUCAAAGGGUACUAAUAAGUGCUAUUUUGGUUUUAAUAUGCAUACUUUUGAGAUAAAUAAGGUACCUUAUGAAAGAUUUCCAACCCAGUGACAACUUUUGUACCUUUUUUCUUCGAACGCAGGCAUGGAAAUGGAGGUCUGGAGACAUGAGGCAUGCCACUGAGGAGCCCAUCUAUGUAGUGGCAUAUGAAACGCACUUGAUUACAUUACUAGCAAAUGGUCUGCAGGAAUGAGUGUAAUUGUAGCUCAUUACGAGCUCUGGAGUGUGACGUGGUUAAAAGAGAUUACAUUUUUCCAUAUUCAGAACUAUCCUGAACUCUGACCGAAGGCGUUGUAUCAAAAACACAGCAGUGACAAACACAAUCUGUCAGGUAAAUAGCGCACAACACAAAAGCAAAAAAAUAUAUAUAUUAUAUUGAUACUACAAAAUAAAAAAUCUGAAUAGGUUGAACCUAAAAUCUAUUUAGUUGAUGGUAAUGUUGUUUCAAGAACUCAGGAUCACCAGUGACCGUUCUAAUGAUUUUUUAAUCUACGACUUUAUUUAUUUACUUAGCAUGUUGGUAAAUAUUUAUAAUUUGAUUUGAACAUUCAUAAAAUUACCCCACUAAUUUUUUUCUGUUUUAAUUUAUUUAUUUAUUUAUUUAAUUAGUUGUAAUUAUGCUAUCAUCUUAAAGGGAUAGUACAUCCAAAAAUGAAAAUUCUGUAAUUAAUUAAUACCAUCGUUCAUAUACGGAACCCACAUUGAGAUAUUUUUUAUGUAAUCUGAGAGCUUUCUGACCCUCCAUCGACAGCAACUGAACUAACAAAAGACCCAAAAAUAUGAACGCACGUCAAAGUCUGACACUUUGACAGAAUGACAGAAAUUUCAUUUUGGGGUGAACUAUCUCUUUAAAAAGGUCUUUGUUUUGCAUGAUCUUUGACUAAUUUCUAAGUGGUUAAACUGACUGUUACGACUCACCCUGUAUAACAAACACUCCAAGUCUCCCCUACUGUAGCAUCAGUAUAUAUCUGGUGCAUUUAUAUGAUAAAUGCAAUGAAAAAUGUGAAAAACUGAUAGGCGAAUGAUAUCACAUAGCUCGUUUGUUUGCAUGAUGGAUGGGUCCUGCUCAUCUACUCCGACUGUUUGUGCUUAAAGGCUCUCAUUGGUGUAAAAAAAAACCCAAGGCAAGCCGUGCUGGCUGUCGUGUCAUAAAGGAUGCAGGCCGAGAACGCAGACAUGAUUUCAUGGCUAAUGAUUCCCGCGCUAAUAUCACUAUGGGCAGCGGAGAGGAUAACCAAGUUGAGCUGUCUUAGCUCAAAUGAUUCAAUUAGGCCAGCUGUCCCCAUUUGUCAUGGCCCAACUCGCUUUUAGAUUACCUUCCAAGAGCGCAUACGUGCCUCCACAUUGGACAUACCCAGUCAACAAUUUCGGGGGAAAUUAAAAAAAGGAAACAUUGUAAGAAAGAAAAAAAUAAAAAUUGUCACAUUAAGCACAUAAAGACAAUUGUUAAUAAUAAACGUGACCUUUUGUUUCAAGCCAAGCUUGAUGGCAAAUUCUGGGUGUGAAAUAGAGGGAAAUCCCUGGAGCAUGUCACAUUGAUUGGCAGGACAGAGAUGGUCCUGCUAUGCUUGAGAGAGACUACAGAUGAGACUACACAUGAAUGGGGUAAAUCAUUAACGUAACUGGGUCAAAAGCACAUGAAAAUAAUACAAUAUAUACACGUGCAAAUGCUCAUGUUUCAUGAUUAUCACCUUAUCGGAUCCUCUGCAUUUGAGUCCUCUGAUCCCCUCGUCCCGUC